UCCUUGGUGGCUCAGACGGUAAAGCGUCUGCCUGCAAUGCAGAAGACCUGGGUUCGAUUCCUGCGUUGGGAA
rnacentral:tRNA from 1 species